CGCGUUUUUAACGUUUGUUCGAAAUACGUCACGCAUGACGAAUCGCAGUUCGAUUGUGUUUCUUGUUGCUUUCGGACGUGCUUUUGUUCUGCUCUUGGAUUGCGUUGCUUUUUUUGCGGUUUGUGCACUUUUGCGGAGAGGAUUCAAGAUUUUUUAGGAUGAAGACGUUGCUGCGUUGUUGGAGGCGGUUCCGGCGGAGGCAGGCGGUGGCGCCGGAGGGAGAGGGUUCCUCGGACGACGCGGAACGAGUCUGUCGUUCCGUGCCGUCCGAGGAGCGACAGGCAGCGGGUGAAGAAGGCCUUGGCCAAGUGCGCGUGGCGUGGCAUCCUCCCGGAGUCGGGAUGAUGCGACGCUACACCCAGGGCCCAGUGCGCUUGGCCGAGGUCUUCGGGGGUCAUCCGGCCACAGACCUUGCUGUGGAGGAUGUCGAAAGUGACAGCUCGUCCGAGCUGACACUUUCUGUUUGGUCGUGUUCUGCCCGUUCGUCCGCGACGGCGACGCCACCGCCUUGCCGAAGUCGGGACGGGGAGGAGUCGGAGGAGAGAGCCCCCGAAGUCGAGGGACCGUGCUGUCCGUGGUUUAGUUGCUGCGGACGGCUGCGGUUGCCUUGGCCUAGGCGGUGAUCUUCUUCGAUUUCCUCUUCUUCACCCGGAUGCGACUUUCUUACCGGAUUCGACACUUUUCACCCGGACAUGACACUUUUUAACGGACGUGACCUCUCUUACCCGGACGUGACCCACGGACUUGACACGUUUCUUCACCGGACGCGACAUUCGGCCGACCUUUCUUCCCAAACAGCUGUUAUGAGGAUUGAGCUUCCGGUUAGGGUUCGUUAGGUUAGCCUAGGCUAGGUCGGGUCCUUCGCUCUUCUCAUAACACUGUUCGGGAAGAAAGGCUGUCUAAUUAAGGUAAUAAUCUUGACCUUAGUUAAUGAAUGAAUAAACUUCUCGUUUUCUCACUGCCUUUGUGUUUUAUAGGAACAUUUGGGAGGGAGAAGGAUCUCCCUCCCCAACUUUACCACGAAGAGGACCAAGAAGUGGCCAUUUAUCGCACAAGUGAAUAUUUUCCGAUGACGUGCCGAAGAUGUUCUUCGAUCACACACAUACACACACACGCACGGACAUAACAUCACUGUACACGAAGAUAUACAGCGUUUAACUUUUACUCGAAUUCUCGCACUCACGCAUUUACACGUCAAGCGCCUCGUUCUGUGUAAUUCGACACAAUGAAACAACCCGAACACACGCUUCCCACAAAUCCAACCCCUGGGUCCUCGUCCCGGGAAGUGGAAACGCCAAUUUUAAAGAUUAAAAGACUUUAAAUUGGCGGCCAAAGUGGCUCUGGUAAUCACACAUCUUGCAUUGAUUAAAUGGAAUUUCACACGUUCGCAUCAAUAAUCGCUUUGUUGUAAUCCUACAUAUUUUUGGUUUCUCAAGAUCCACGAUGUGGGCUGCCGAACUGUAUGGAACGGGUCUUGACAGACCGCCCUGGGUUCUUCAACAGUUCGAAUCGAUGUCACAGCGGUAGAUCGAAGUCUUAACCGUUCAAACAUCCGGCUGUCACCUUCUUAUACUAGGUGUUGAAAGUAUAACAAGUAGAGACACUUGCAUAUAAACAGUUUCUUAUUGUACACUAGACACUUGCACAUAAAUUGUUUUUAGUUGGUCGGCACUGUACUAUAUGUCUUACACACUAUAUUAUUUCGGUGAGAAAUUGCCAUUCGAUGUAUACCAUUUUGUUCACGACUCGUUUUCGGUUUUAUUGCCACUUAUUUGUAGCACGACUGGCAGAUUGCCGGACUUCAAAGAACUUGGGUAAAGGUUAUACAUA